rnacentral:rRNA from 1 species
GGUCGUCAUAAAAUGACGGGAGGAAUGUAGCUUCGAUCUCGUAUUGAAGUGUUAUAGCCUCUGGUAGAUGUGAUGAUCGGGAUUGAGGAUUGGAACGAACCCCUCGGGGCCAUCCGCCUGGCCUCUGGUGGUUGCUUUGGUGUCGAAAGCUUGCUUACGGUCAUCGAAGUUGGCUGCCAAAAGGUUAGAACGGGUUAAAUUCGUUAAGGAUGUUGACGUAAUGGCUUUAAACGACCCGUCUUGAAACACGG